rnacentral:lncRNA from 1 species
UAAGAGCCUUAAAUGAUCAAGCACAAAACAUAACAUAUAUAGAAAAUUUAUAUUUCAGAAUGUUCAUAUUAGAACCUUAAAAAAUAAAACAAAAGAAACAUGCAAUGAGUAAUCAAUUGUAUCAUGCUUUUAUUGCAUUUGAAAUGUUUUCCUUUUAAGGAAUGCAAAAUCAAAGAGAAUCCAAUCCUUCCACAAGAAAGCAAUGCUCAUUCUGGUUGGCCCGUCCCGCAUAGGCCCGCAAAAUGCGGGCCGGGUUGACCUGCCCGCAUACAUAAUGCGAGCUGGUUUUCAUGACCCGCCCCGCAUGCAGGUUGGCCCGCAUAACUUUUACAAACCCUAAAAUUGUUGCUCCACAAAUCUGCAAAAAAAAAGUAAUGGAAAAAAAAAAUCUCAUGAGUAAAAGGGACAGUUGCAGUAGCAAAUGGUGGAAGGUUAAGGAGGAAGGGAUAAAGAACCUUGAGGAAGACGACGGUGGAGGUCGCGUCGCGGUGGAGGACGCGUCGUGGUGGAGGUCACGUUGCGGUGGUGGUUCGCGGUGGAGGAUGAAAUUGAAGUGUUGCUGGACGAAUCUCGCUGGAGGAGAAUAAAGGCACAGUUUAGGGAUUGGAAUUUUAGGGUUCACAGUGGUGGAGAAAUUUUAGGGAUUGAAGAUGAAAUUUGAAAUGUUGAGAAAGAAGAGAAACACACGCACCAGGCCAACACAUCACACAUGAAUGAUUUUUCACUUGUGGGCUGGCGGGUUAGCCCGUCCCGCCCCGUCGUAAGCCCGCACGGGCCGCGAGUUAUGCGGGACGGGCUUAAGUGGGUUCGCGGGUUAAACAAGGGAACCCGCCCCGCGUUUUUUCGUGCGAGCUGCAAGCCGGCCCGCGCGGCCCGCCCCGUUUUGCCAACCCUAACAAGAAUGAGAAUGCUUGACUACAAUGUAUUCAAACACAAUAACAAUAAUUUACAUGCAAUAUAAAUGCUUUGUAAACGAAGAACACAAGAGCAAUACUCAUAUUUCUAGUAUUUAUAAGCUAUUAAGAAUUCAAAGUUUAGCGGGAGAGCUAAAAACCUUUUAUAUUCUUUACUUUGUGAAAUUGUCCUAUGAAUUUAAACUUACCUUUAUUUGAGAGUUUUUUUAUUCACA